rnacentral:lncRNA from 1 species
CCAGAAAGAUUAAAGCUCUCCCUGCUGAAAUCUCCUUUCCCUCCAGCAGGAAACCAGUGUAGUUAUGUUGUUUGUACUUGCCAGGAUACACUUCCAUUUCAUAUUUGCAAGUACACAUAAAGGUAUCCUUCAUCAGCAGCACAGUGCUUCCUUUCCUCUGAAUCUGCCAUCAGCUCAGGCAGAUUUCUAAGCAGCAAAUCAGCCUUUGCCAGAACACUGCAGGACACCAGUGCAGCGCCCAGCCUGCGACCAUGAGAAACCCCAGCCACAUCUCCAGCACACAAGAACUUCAAAAUGCCUAAGCCGCAGCAGUCAAGCAUUCCUAGAGGACCUUCUCCAUCAGGAUCUUGCUUCAAGUGCCAGAAAUCUGGCCACUGGGCCAAGGAAUGCCCACAGCCCGGGAUUCCUCCUAAGCUGUGUCCCAUCUGUGUGGGACCCCACUGAAAAUCAGACUGUCCAGCUCACCUGGCAGCCACUCCCAGAGCCCCUGGAACUCUGGCCCAAGGCUCUCUGAUUGACUUCUUCCCAGAUCUUCUGGGCUUAGUGGCUGAAGACUGACACUGCCCGAUCACCUGAGAAGCCUCCUGGACCAUCACAGAUGCUUUAGGUAACUCUUACAGUAGAGG